CGACCGGCGCACGGGUGCGUAACGCGUAUGCAACCUACCUUUAACAGGGGGAUAACACUGAGAAAUUGGUACUAAUACCCCAUAAUAUCAUAGAAGGCAUCUUUUAUGGUUGAAAAUUCCGAUGGUUAGAGAUGGGCAUGCGUUGUAUUAGCUAGUUGGUGGGGUAACGGCUCACCAAGGCGACGAUACAUAGGGGGACUGAGAGGUUGACCCCCCACACUGGUACUGAGACACGGACCAG
rnacentral:rRNA from 1 species